rnacentral:lncRNA from 1 species
CACGACUGAACCACCUCCCAGGCAUGCCAGAACCAGGUGCAGGACACGAUUGAACCACCUACAGGACACGUUGAAUUUCCUUGCCUGAUACACAGGAAUGACCUGCUGCACAUGCUGGAAUCACCUACCAGACAUGCCAGGACCACCUGUGGGAUAUAACAGAACCAAGUGCCUGAUUUUCUGAAGCUACCUGCCAGACACGCCAGAUCCAGCUGUCAGACACCCCUGGACAACCCACAGGACAAGUCAAAAUCACCUGCAUGAUACCCCGUAACCAUGUGCCACGCAGAACGGAACCACCUGCCAGACAAGCUGGAGCGACCUGUGGCAUACACCAGAAACAGUCGCAGCACACGCUGGAACAAGGUGCCCCACAAGACUGAUCCACCUGCCAGAUAAGACUCAACCAUCUGCUGGAAAUGCCGAAACCACCUUCCAGAAGCGCCAGAACCAUCUGUGGCACACGCCAGAACCACCUACUGGACAUGUCUGACCCACCUGCCUGACACGCUGGAACCAACUGUUGGACAUCUUGGAACCAUCAUCUGGACACUCUGAAACCACCCACCACUGAUGCGAGAAUCAGGUCCAGAAUGCGCCAGAAGCACCUGCAGGACAGGCCAUAACCACCUGACUCACAUGCCAAAAUCACCUGCCAGAUAUGCCAGAACCACUUGACGGACACUCCGGAAUCACAUGCAGCGCAUGCCAGAACCACCUCUCACAUAUGCCAGAACUAAGUGCCGGACACUCCGGAACCACCUCCAAGACAGACUUGAACCACCUGCUGCACACGCCUGAACCACUGGGCGAACACGCUGGAACCACCUGCUUGACUCGCUGGAACCCCCUGCCGGACAGGCCAAAAUCACCUGCUGGAUACACUGGAAGCAGGCCACAUGGAUGCUGUAAAAACCUGACAUACAUGCCGGAACCACCCGCUGGACACUCUGGAACCACCACACAGGCAUGCAGAGCGACCCACCAGACCAACCAGAGCACCCACCGGACACGCCACAACCACCUGGAACCACACGCCGGACACACUGGAACCAUCUCUCUGAUACACCAGAACUGACUCCCGGCCAUGCUGGAAGCACUCAAUAGCCAGGCCAGAACCAUCUUCUGAAUUUACCAGAGCCACAUGCCAGACACACAGGAACCAACUCCCAGACACUUCGGAAACACCUGUUGGAUAUGCCGCAACCAGGUGCCAGAUACACUGAAACCACCUGCUGAAUAUGCCAGAACCAGGUGCCAGACACGCCACAAACACCUGCCAGACAGGCCGAAAACACCAGCCUAACUCACUGGAACAACCUGUCAUAGACACCAAAAUCACCUGCCAGAUACACCAGAACCAGGUCCUGGAUACGCCAAUAGCAAUUUCUGGAAAAUCCUGGAUUAACAUGCCGCACAUGCCAGAAUCACCCACCGGACAUGUGGGAACCAACUGCCAGACAUGCUGGAACCAACACCUUGACACUCUGAAAGCACCCACAGCACAUGACGGAAUCAGGUUCCGGACACACAGUAGCCACCUGACGGACAUGCCGGAACCACCUUCAGGAUGUAUCAGAACCACAUGCCAAACACACAGGAACCACCUGCCAGACACCAUGGGACCAAAUGUCAGAAACACCAAAACCAGGUGCUUGAUAUGCCGAAGCCACUUGCUGAAGACGCCAGAAACAUGUGCUGGACAUGCCGGAACCAUGUGAUGGAGACAUCUGAAACUUGUCCAACACAGGCCAGAACCAGGUGCCCCACAUGCCAGCACUACCUGCUGGACACGCCUGGUUCACCUGUUGGUCUUGUGAGAACCACCUCUCGGAUACACCGGAAACAGGUGUAGCACAUGCCAAGACCAGGUGCCGCACACUCUGGAAUCACCUGACGGACACAUCAAAAUCACCUGCUGCAUAUGCCGCAACCAUGUGCUGCACCCAUGGGAAUCACCUACCAGACAUGCUGAGACCACCAGCGGGAUACGCCGGAACCAUGUGCUGCACAUGCCGGAAUCACCUACAAGACAUGCCGGGGCCACCUGUUGCAUACGCCGGAACUAGUUGCCUGAUUAGGUGAAGCUCCCUCCGGGUACGCCAGAGCCGGUGUGGGACAUGCCUGGACAGCCCUCAGCACACCUCAAACUCUCCUGCAGUAUACCCUGUAGCCAUGUCCCAGACACGCAGGAACCACCUGUUGGAUAUGCCGGAACCAGGUGCCAAAUAGUCUGAAACCACCUACCGAUUACACCAGAAUCAGGUGCCAGACAUGCCACAAAAGCUUGCCAGACAUGCCGGAACCACCCGCUGGACACUCUGGAAGCACCACACUGUCAUGCCAGAACAACCCACCAGACACACAGGAAGCACCCACUGGACACGCCAGAACCAUGUGGAACCACCCGCCGGACACAUUGGAUCCAUGAGUCUGACAUGCCAGAACCAACUCCCGGACAUGCUGGCAGCACCCAACAGACAGGCCGGAACCAUCUUGCGAACCUACCAGAACCACAUGCCCGACACACAGCAACCACCUGCCAG